AUUGAACGCUGGCGGCAGGCCUAACACAUGCAAGUCGAACGAGUGGCGGACGGGUGAGUAAUGGCUGGGAAACUGCCCGAUGGAGGGGGAUAACUACUGGAAACGGUAGCUACUACCGCAUACCAUCGGAUGUGCCCAGAUGGGAUGAGCUAGUGGGUGGGGUAACGGCUCACCAAGGCGACGAUCCCUAGCUGGUCUGAGAGGCUGACCAGCCACACUGGAACUGAGACACGGUCCAGACUCCUACGGGAGGCAGCAGUGGGGAAUAUUCGACAAUGGGCGCAAGCCUGAUGCAGCCAUGCCGCGUGUAUGAAGAAGGCCUUCGGGUUGUAAAGUACUUUCAGCGAGGAGGCGUUACUCGCAGAAGAAGCAUCGGCUAACUCCGUGCCAGCAGCCGCGGUAAUUC
rnacentral:rRNA from 1 species